rnacentral:tRNA from 1 species
UCCCUGGUGGCUCAGAGGUUAAAGCGUCUGCCUCUGAUGCAGGAGACCCGAGUUCGAUCCCUGGGUUGGGAA